rnacentral:rRNA from 1 species
AGAGUUUGAUCAUGGCUCAGGAUGAACGCUGGCGGCGUGCCUAACACAUGCAAGUCGAACGAAGCCCCUUGUGGAAAUCUUCGGAUAGGAAUAAGGAAGCUUAGUGGCGGACGGGUGAGUAACACGUAAGCAAUCAACCUGUAACACACGAAUAACUAAGAGAAAUCUUAGCUAAUACGCGAUAAGCUAGCAAAAGCGGGAGUUUUAGCUAGAAAAGCUGAGGCGGUUACAGACGAGCUUGCGGCUGAUUAGCUAGUUGGUGGGGUAAGAGCCUACCAAGGCGACGAUCAGUAGCCGACCUGAGAGGGUUACCGGCCACAUUGGAACUGAGAGACGGUCCAAACUCCUACGGGAGGCAGCAGUGGGGGAUAUUGCACAAUGGGCGAAAGCCUGAUGCAGCAACGCCGCGUGAGUGAAGAAGGUAUUCGUAUCGUAAAGCUCUGUCGUAUGAGGAGAAAGAAAUGACGGUAUCAUACAAGAAAGCCCCGGCUAACUACGUGCCAGCAGCCGCGGUAAUACGUAGGGGGCAAGCGUUAUCCGGAAUUACUGGGCGUAAAGGGUGCGCAGGCGGUAAUUUAAGUCAGAGUUAAAAGGCAAGGGCUCAACCCUUGUACGGCUUUGAAACUAAAUUACUUGAGUAUAGGAGAGGAAAGUGGAAUUCCCAGUGUAGCGGUGAAAUGCGUAGAUAUUGGGAGGAAUACCAGUGGCGAAGGCGACUUUCUGGACUAAAACUGACGCUGAGGCACGAAAGCAUGGGUAGCAAACAGGAUUAGAUACCCUGGUAGUCCAUGCCGUAAACGAUGAACACUAGGUGUCGG